rnacentral:lncRNA from 1 species
AGAUCUUUCUUCAGAAGAAACCUGAGUGGUCUCACAGGGGUUUGGAGUAAGAUUCAUACCUGCUUCACCAGUGAUUUUCAAAGGAGGCAAAUCCUAUUUGAAGCUAAAGUCACAUAAAGAGAUUUGGAAUGAGGAAACAAAUUAUAGCAGCCUGCAAGUUGUAGAAUGAAGAAAUGCAAAUGUAAAGUACUGAACUUUGUCAUGGAUGGAUUUACCAAAGAGAAUUACUCUGCAUAACAUGAAUAAUGGAGUUCAGAAGGAAGCCCAUAUCCCAGGUACAGGGAAAACUCAGAGACUUCCUCGGUUGUGCUGUUUUACUGAGGUUGGGUGGAGUCAACACAUCAUGGAUAAAGAAGUCCCUAAAGGCAGUCCCAGGGAGCCCGCACUGAACAUCAAGAAGUCAGACAAAUCCUUCAAACGCAAGAAGCCCACCGAAAAUGUGCUGAUCUUUUUAAUCAACAGACAACUGGGCAGGCACAGAAGUGACAUCGACCUGUCAAGAUGGGUGUGGAUGCUGUCAUAAAGCAACUCUAGGGUGGACAUGGCCUUGGACAAAAAGUCAUGUGGCUUACAUGCUGAAGCCUGCCCAUAUUUUUGAGAAAUUAAAUAUAAUUAGAACAAUAAACUCCUCCCAUGUUUGAG